GUUAAACUUCAGUAUAUUACAAAACACAAGCUUACAAGUGUUUAGAAAGAAGAAUCACUUAGUUUGCAGCACUCUGGCAUGGGUUACAGGCUAAAAUGAACAGAGUUUUCUCUCUUUUCUUCUUCUUUUAUUUAAAUGAUUUACUAAGAGCUCAUAUUUAAAGACCAGAUGGCCGUGGGUUAACCCGCAAUUGCCGCAUGUCUACUUGUGGCUGCUCAGGCUGCCCCGAGCCUUGCGGGUGUCGUCUCGAAGUAAGUGCACUCGAGCUACGCGUUGUCCGCUCGAACCUUCAUAACUUUUUAUCUGGGCAUCCGAUACAGGAGUGUAGUACCUUUUUGAAAAGCUAUUGUCGAGAGCUAUACAAGGACAUGGGAUUAGAGGUUGUACAAAGCUGAGAAGAUGGGCCCAUGACCAGAUCUCCAAGUCUUCAAUGUCUAUCCGUUGUGUUGACUUCUGCAGUUGUCACUCGGGAUUUGAGCUAUGGUUCUUGUGGGACAUCUUGAUACGCAGUUUGAGUUAAAUUAUGUUGAGACAACGUUGAUGUGAUGUUAAGGUGGCAAAGUGAUGAUUUUUCCCCUACCGGGGUUAUCUCCGAUUUUGACGCAUUUGUAGUAGUCAAUUCUCAGGGUUAUCUCUGAGCUUGGGCUGCUGUUGAUUCUGAAUGUCCUCAAUGUUAUCUCUGAGCUUGGCUUGACCUCUCGGGGUUAUCUUGGGGUGUGUACUGUAUCUUCGGGGGUUAUCUCCAGGGUUGAAACUGACUUUUCCGUGGUUAUCUCCAGAACUUGAACUGGAUCCCUCGGGGUUAUCUCCGAAGUUGAAACUGGAUCUCCCGAGUUAUCUCCGGGGUUGAAACUGAAUCUCCCGGGGUUGUCUUCGAGAUUAAAAAUUGGAUCUCCGGGGUUUAUCUCCGGGGUUGGAACUGAGUCUCCCAGAGUUAUCUCCAGGGUUGAAGCUGAUUUGACUUCCACGUUUAUCUCUGGAAGAUGAUUCAGCCCUCCUGCAGGGUUAGUAACAGGGUUAGUAACAGGAAUGCAAAUUUUUGAAUGUCUACACCAGUCUCAACUGAACAUCUUAAUGAGCUUGUUAUGGCAGUGCAGGAACUUUCUAAAGUGGUCAAGGAUCUGGCUUAAGGUGGGCAUAAUGAAAAAAAGUGGGAGAAGAGAAAGAGAGAUAACAUGUUUGAUUUGCCAUAUGAAGAUCAUCAACCCUCAACCUCUACCCCUACAACCACAUCAAUCCCUUUAGAUGAACAAACAAAUAUUCAUCCAUUUACUAACAUGGUGACAUCCAAUGGAUCGAGAAUACCAGGAGCAAAUGAACCUAGAUAUGAUAAUAGAAAUCUUCAGGGAAUAUCAAUUGAUGGUGAGCCACACUUGCAAACCUCCUUUGGCCCAAGAGAAACUUAAAAGGAGAUAAAUCAUAGAUAGGCCAAAGACAGGAAACUCUACGAACAGAGGAUGGUUAUGAGAGGCAAAACCCCCCAAAAGCAAACCACCGAAAAGACCCAGAUGCAUCAAAGACUACUCAAG
rnacentral:lncRNA from 1 species